AUGCAGGAAGAGAUCAGAGGGCACAAAGCACUCACCAGGCUGUUCUUGAUGCUUAUGGAGCUUCUCUGUUUGGUUCUCAGGGGGGGGGGGCAAGAUACCCAGCAGCAACAGUGGCUGACUUCUGGUGCUUGGAACCAAGGGCUGCAUCAUACACACCCCUGGAUGCAAAAUCAGAUGCUUCCUCAUGCUUCUAUGAACAGAACACAAGGGAAUGCCCUGAACAUUCCAGUGAGUGCAGCUAUGUAUGGUAUCUUCAAUAGUCAAGGCAAUACACAGGUAAACUUGCCUGUGAACCUGGGUCCACAUACUUCAGUGGGUGACUCCAACCUAGUGUGUACUGCGCUCCAACCCCUUGCAAACAAAGUCGCUUAUGAAGCCCCCAUGUCAUACACGCAACUCCUACUUGCUGCUGAAGAAGAGGGUGCUAGAUAUGCAUCCUCACAAUCGCAAGUAGAUUGCCUUGUUCGUACUGAGAACGAUAUGUACAUGAUAACUGGGCGAUACAGUAGAUCUUCAGAAGAUCCAUUACAAGCACACACUGGGGGUGGAGCUCAGCAUAUAUCUGGAGUCGAUGACCAACAUGAUAUAGAGCUUGAACCUUUUGUUGACAACCGUUUUUCAGAAAGCUUGAAUGAUUUGAACUGGGACAAUGAAAUGCAGACAGAAGCAGGAGGAAUCAAAAACGGCUCUAUGGUGUCAAAUGAGAUUGCUUCUGACAAUGAUUCUGAUUCCGAGGAUGAUCAUUCUCCAGUGUUGUUGCAAAAAGCCUCUGAGAUUACUGUUACAACUGCUGGAGAAGAAGAAAACAGUGGUGCAGCUGGCGAAGUUCAAAAAUUAACACAGGAUGAUAUACUGAUAUUCCUUGAAAAUGACAGUAUAGAAGCCGCUCAGAGUGCUAGCCAAGAAGUGCGCAGCCAUCACGUACCCCAUGUGGACAUGGUCUUUGAUACAGAUGAUGCAGCUUACAACUUUUACAAUGAGUAUGCCUCAAUUGCUGGUUUUUCUGUGAUCAAAGCAUCUCGAUAUUGUGGCAAGAAACAAGGAGGCAGUGCAGCAACUCGGGUAACUUUCAAGUGCAAUCGGUCAGGAAGAGUAAUUGAUGAAGAAGAACAAGAGAAUAGGAAGAAGAAACGACGUGACACAAGGCAACAGAAAACAGGACAAGAGCCCUAUCGCAACGCAAGGAAGAAAAAAGCAAACACCAUUGCAAUAACAGGGUGUAAAGCUCAGCUCAUUGUCACCAAGAAGGAUGAGAAGUGGGUGAUAACAACCAUAAACCUACAACACAACCAUGAUUUGAGUCCUCACACAGAAGUGAAAUACCUUCGUUCUCAUAACUACAUGACAGAGGAGGAGAAACUCCUAAUCCGAACUUUCAAUGCUGUGAAGCUACCAACAAGACAAAUAAUAGCAAUCCUAAGUGACUUGAGAGGCGGGAACACUCCUUACACCAAAAAGCAUGUAAGCAAUGUUAGAACAGCCAUUGGCAAAGAGAGCAAUCAAGAUGACAUGAUGCAGGUGCUAACAUAUUUCAGGAAGAGACAAGCUGAAGAUCCACAAUUUACUAUGCGUUCAAAACAACUAAAGUCUCUGAUGACGCAAGUAAAGUUUUGUGCAUUUUCUGGGCUGACGGGUAUUCUAGGAAAAUGUACGAGCUGUACGGAGACUGCCUCAGCUUCGACACAACAUUCAAGACAAACAGAUACAACCUCCCAUUUGCUCCCUUUGUUGGUGUCACAGGACAUGGCCAGAACUGUUUGUUUGCUUGCUCUAUCAUAG
rnacentral:rRNA from 1 species